AUGCUGCCAACACAGGCAAACUGUUUCAACAAGGACAUCGCCGAAACAAGAAGAAUGUGAAGAAGAAUGUUGAGCAUGUGUUGGCUGCGUGCAGGAUUAAUUCUACAGCAGCCAUGUGUUGUCUCCUUCACGAAAAAGAUUCUAUUUGAACAGCAUAUACAAUCAAAUGCUUUAUAGUGGGCAUGGAUGAAGACGCCAUCAACGAGGCCAUUGAAGAUACCAGUGUUGGGAUUUAUGUUCUUAAAGAACAUGCUUCAAGUGAUGAAACAGGGGACAUUGGUAUUGUCCUUGAAGGCAUCAAGAUGUUGCAAGAUCUUUAUAAUGUAGCAUUACCUGUUGCUACGCUGUUUGGACUAAU